rnacentral:misc_RNA from 1 species
GUUUGCCUAUGAUAGUUAUAAUAAAAAUAAAAUAUUGAUAUGAUAUCCAGAUGGAAUCAUUC